GGAGGACACGUGCCAGCCCAGGCCAGCCCCCCCCGAGGGGACAGGAGCCGACACCCAGCUCGGAUCCCACGGGGAUCCAGAGCUUCUAGCAAAGACACUCUUCCAGCAUCGGCGGGGCCGGCACCGUGUGACGCUGAGGAGCACGAUGGGGACGAGCCCCCGGUGGCCCCAUCACUCGCCUUGGGGACGGGCCCAGCCAGUCCCCCCCACUUCGCACGGGAAGACUGACCCAGUCUCGCUUGUCGUCAGUCUUGCUGGGACUCCCACGCUGCGUCGCAAGUGCGAGGCGUCCACGUGGACAAGGGCGCCUCGCCCGCAGCCUGUCCGGGUCUGGGAAAGAAGGGGCGGCCAUUAGGGUUACUUGCUUAUUUAUUUAAUGGAGGUGCUGUGACUGAACCCAGGACCUCACGCGUGCCAAGCUCAUGCCCUCCCUCCUGGAAAUACUCACUUCCUCCUGGAAGGGACCGUACACCCCUGGCUCCCCUCCUCCAGCCUCUCGGCAGCCGGAAACAGUGGUGGGACUGUGCCCCCCUUCCCCAGAGCUGCCAGGUCUCUCCUGUCCCUACCCUGAGGCGGUCCCCAGCCCUCUGCUCGUCCCGGCCCCGCCGGCAGACCCGACACCCAGCUCAGCGACGAGCAGCAUUGUCACUGGAGGUCAAAGGGGCGAAUUUCUCGCCCUGAAGCGGGCCUUGACACCGCCUCUCCGCAGCAGGGGCUCGCACUUCCCUUCCCGAGCCCCCCCUCCCUUUGCUCGUCCCAGACAGUCUUACCGGAAGCCCUGCUGCCGUCUCUUCUCCACGUCAGCGCCUUUUCCCGUCUCCUCUGAGUCCACCAUCACUCCUCGACCUCCUGCCCUUUUGUGGUCGUCUUCUUACUGGUUUGGGGGUGGAAGCUGCCCAAGGCGGCCGGGGCAGUGCUGAGCGGUGGAGAAGACCAGGCAGGCGAUAACACAGUCUUCCACGUGAAGACAGAGCCUCACGCCAGGCAAAUAAAUUAGAAGACGUUUCCUCAAAAGCUUUGAAAUGCAAAGAACGAUUCAAGGUGGAACGUGCAGGUAAUGACAGUAACUCCCCAAAGAACCUUUGAGAAGCAGGCGGGGCACCGCGGAGCGGCCACACGGGCCUUACAGCCACGAGGGAGGAGCAGAUGCCCUUUGAAGGAGACGUGGUGUGUUCACCCCCCAUUUUACUGCAAGAAAAGUGGAAACUCAGCAAGAGGCAGUGCUGUGCACCAGAUCUGAGACCUGGGAGGCGGCUGACCACAGCACUGCCCGUCCUGUUACAAACCCUGGGCUCCUCCACCGUGAGGCCCGAGGCUUCAGGGCCCUGAGAUGCAUGGGACCUUUCCGGGCCCCGCGUAACCUGCCACAGAGCUCUUUGGCCGAUCCCGAUUUUAACGCUUGCCACGUAGAUGAGGUCUGGAGAGCACUGAGGACAACGUCGGCGUUUGGCCAUUCAGAACCUCAAAUGAGCUCCAGUUUUAAGACGAGCCUUUGAAAUUUAUUCUUGAGCAAGCUCACUGACUGUAUGCCCUCCCUCUGCGAUCCCGGGCCGCGCGCCGUGCGCAGGGAACGUGCAGCUGUGCUGGAAAGGAGGCUCGGAAAAGCGAAAAGAACAUAAAACCACUGCAAAAUGCCCUUCAUGGUCAUGGUUUAUUCGUGAACAGACCUCAUCACCACUUAGACCACAAACUUUGUACUGUAAGUAGAAUUUCUCAGGACAGUGGCUAACUUAAAUUUCCUUCCUCCAACCAGCUCUGAUGCAUAAUGUACCACGCCUUAUCCAAGAAGCUUGUCAAGUCUGACUCAGAAAAUGGGAAAGUAAAUGUAGGGAAGGGAGACCUCCAGAUUAGCCGAGCACGUGAGACCUACAGUGAGAACAAAAUAUUAUAAGCACUUAGAAAAACUGACCAAGGGCAAGUCCUCCCCUCGGUCCCUUGGAAGAUACAAGAAAACGCACCGUCAUUUGUGUAGAACUUCGCUGAAUGGCAUUGGUUUGCUGCGUACGAAACGUCCCUGUCCUUGGCCCCUGCCUGGCACCAGUUACUCCGGGCAGCCAUCUGGUAAGGUGCAAAGAAACUGAAGC